ensembl:ncRNA C01G12.14 ncRNA
UUCAGUUCGGAUGUCCGCAAUCCGGAUUUUGUUCGUUUCCUUCCUUUUUCGGGCGGAUCAACGGCUUCUUAUCUGAUAUGAUUCGG